UACGUAGGAGGCGAGCGUUGUCCGGAGUACUGGGCGUAAAGCGCACGCAGGCGGUCCUAUUAGUCUGGGGUGACAGUUCCCGGCUUAACCGGAAAAGGACUCUGGAAACUGUAGGACUUGAGGGCUUCAGAGGGAUGUGGAAUUCCAGGUGGAGUGGUGAAAUGCGUAGAGAUCUGGAAGAACACCAAAGGCGAAGGCAGCAUCCUGGGAAGUUCCUGACG
rnacentral:rRNA from 1 species